rnacentral:rRNA from 1 species
CUCGCAGAAGGGACGAGCGGGCUGGCCACGCCGUAAAACCCCCAACUUCUCAAGGUUGACCUCAGAUCAGGUAGGAAUACCCGCUGAACUUAAGCAUAUCAAUAAGCGGAGGAAAAGAAACCAACAGGGAUUGCCCUAGUAACGGCGAGUGAAGCGGCAACAGCUCAAAUUUGAAAUCUGGCCUCGUGCCCGAGUUGUAAUUUGUAGAGGAUGCUUUUGGCGACGCGCCUUCCGAGUUCCCUGGAACGGGACGCCAUAGAGGGUGAGAGCCCCGUCCGGUCGUGCGCCUAGCCUCUGUAAAGCUCCUUCGACGAGUCGAGUAGUUUGGGAAUGCUGCUCUAAAUGGGAGGUAUACGUCUUCUAAAGCUAAAUACCGGCCAGAGACCGAUAGCGCACAAGUAGAGUGAUCGAAAGAUGAAAAGCACUUUGAAAAGAGGGUUAAAUAGUACGUGAAAUUGCUGAAAGGGAAGCGCUUAUGACCAGACUUGGGCGCGGCGGAUCAUCCGGCGUUCUCGCCGGUGCACUCCACCGCCCCAGGCCAGCAUCAGUUCGCGCCGGGGGACAAAGGCUUCGGGAAUGUGGCUCCCUCGGGAGUGUUAUAGCCCGCUGCGU